rnacentral:rRNA from 1 species
UUGGAGGGCAAGUCUGGUGCCAGCAGCCGCGGUAAUUCCAGCUCCAAUAGCGUAUAUUAAAGUUGUUGCAGUUAAAAAGCUCGUAGUUGAAUUUCGGGAUUGACGUGACGGUCGUGCCUUACGGGGUAUGAACUGUCGCCGUUGAUUUCUCACCUUCUGGAGAAGCUCGAUGUCCUUAAUUGGGUGUCUUGCGGAACCAGGACCUUUACCUUGAAAAAAUUAGAGUGUUUAAAGCAGGCAUUAUUGCUCGAAUACAUUAGCAUGGAAUAAUAGAAUAGGACGGCAUGGUUCUACUUUGUUGGUUUCUAGGAUCACCGUAAUGAUUAAUAGGGAUAGUUGGGGGCAUUAGUAUUCAAUUGUCAGAGGUGAAAUUCUUGGAUUUAUUGAAGACUAACUACUGCGAAAGCAUUUGCCAAGGAUGUUUUCAUUAAUCAAGAACGAAAGUUAGGGGAUCGAAGACGAUCAGAUACCGUCGUAGUCUUAACCAUAAACUAUGCCGACUAGGAAUCAGACGAUGUUAAUUUUUUAAUGACUCGUUUGGCACCUUACGGGAAACCAAAGUGUUUGGGUUC